AUUGAACGCUGGCGGCAGGCCUAACACAUGCAAGUCGAACGAGAGGCGGACGGGUGAGUUAUGUCUGGGACACUGCCUGAUGGAGAGGGUUAGCUACUGGGCACGGUAGCUAAUUACGCAUUCCAUCAGCUGGGCCCCGGUGGGAUUAGCUUGUUGGUGGGGUAACGGCUUACCAAGGCGACGAACCCUAGCUGGUCUGAGAGGAUGACCAGUCACACUGGAACUGAGACACGGUCCAGACUCCUACGGGAGGCAGCAGUGGGGAAUAUUGCACAAUGGGCGAAAGCCUGAUGCAGCCAUGCCGCGUGUAUGAAGAAGGCCUUCGGGUUGUAAAGUACGUUAAGCUGGGAGGCGUUACCAGCAGAAGAAGCACCGGCUAACUCCGUGCCAGCAGCCGCGGUAAUUC
rnacentral:rRNA from 1 species